rnacentral:misc_RNA from 1 species
GUACGAUAUUUCCUCUCUCAUGCUAUUUGCUGCUUGCAUCUCAAAUCUGGCGUCACUGGUUUUAUACCUAUUGUAUUAUUCUACCGAACACUUCCGAAAUUGGCCGAACUGUAACGCUGACAUUACGAACGCAAAGUAUCUCGGGAAGAAAUGCGCCGAUGGUGGAGUAAUCUUGAUUUAUUGAGUAUUUAGUUACGAUUGGAUUAAGAAUUAUAGUGUGUAAAGGAACAGAUUUCAACUGAAGGCAGUUAUCGUGGAUGUUGGAAAGUUUGAGGUUCGUACUAAAAGCGAUCAAAGCUCAACACGCCCAUCAGGCCCAAUAAAGCCUCCCUGUCCCCGCGCCUAAAGCCCUCACGUGGCACAAGAGCUGGGCGCUGGGCCAGGCCGCGCUACGCCAGACUGUGUUGCUCUGGCAUCUCUCACGGCCACCUAUACCGACUCGGAGGGCGAGGACGGGGUGGAAGACGAGCGCCUGCAGGAGGAGAAUUCGAUCA